GUCGAACUCUGGCAUGCUGUGCACGUGUUCCUUUGGUCCAGCCAUGUUUAACCCGGGUGCAAGUGGAUGGAAAGUUCUAGAACAACGAAGUGGCUACAAGAUCACGGGUGUACCCAGUCCCCAAAGAGGCCUGCUUGAAGACAUGGCAGUUGCACAUCUCUGUGUUUCUGUGUGCUGAGAAUUCAUGGCUACCUCAGCUGAGAUUUGAUGCAGUCAUGUGGAUGGCUUAUUUGUGAUAAUGGUCUACUGAUAGACUUGAAGACCACCAGUGGCAUGUCGCACCCAGUAUGUGCAGAUACAGUCACCUGGAGGGCUUAUUUGUGAUAAUGGUCUACUGACGAGAAUCGAAGACCACCAGUGGCAUGUCGAGCCCAGUAUGUGCAGAUACAGUCACCUGGAGGGCUUAUUUGUGAUAAUGGUCUACUGACGAGAAUCGUACGACAUAGUUGACUCCACCAGGCUGUCUGUAGGAUGCGGCCAUGUCAGUCCCCAGGGGACCUUGAGUCUGGACACCAGUGAAUUGAUGUGGUGGCCACGCCUCCUGUACUGUGACUUCAUCUGAUAUUUGCAAGACUUUGCACAAGUCAAUUUAUAAGACUUGUACUUUCAUAUAUAUUUUUUUUGUGAAUUGCAUGUCAUGCUUUAGAAAAAGCAGUGGAAUAAAACUUGGUUUGUUUGUAAAAUCAAA
ensembl:lncRNA